rnacentral:rRNA from 1 species
UGGCGGCAGGCUUAACACAUGCAAGUCGAGCGGAAACGAUACCAGCUUGCUGGUAGGCGUCGAGCGGCGGACGGGUGAGUAAUACUUAGGAAUCUACCUAGUAGUGGGGGAUAGCUCGGGGAAACUCGAAUUAAUACCGCAUACGACCUACGGGAGAAAGGGGGCAGUUUACUGCUCUCGCUAUUAGAUGAGCCUAAGUCGGAUUAGCUAGAUGGUGGGGUAAAGGCCUACCAUGGCGACGAUCUGUAGCUGGUCUGAGAGGAUGAUCAGCCACACCGGGACUGAGACACGGCCCGGACUCCUACGGGAGGCAGCAGUGGGGAAUAUUGGACAAUGGGGGAAACCCUGAUCCAGCCAUGCCGCGUGUGUGAAGAAGGCCUUUUGGUUGUAAAGCACUUUAAGCAGUGAAGAAGACUCUUCGGUUAAUACCCGGAGACGAUGACAUUAGCUGCAGAAUAAGCACCGGCUAACUCUGUGCCAGCAGCCGCGGUAAUACAGAGGGUGCAAGCGUUAAUCGGAAUUACUGGGCGUAAAGCGAGCGUAGGUGGCUUGAUAAGUCAGAUGUGAAAUCCCCGGGCUUAACCUGGGAACUGCAUCUGAUACUGUUAGGCUAGAGUAGGUGAGAGGGAAGUAGAAUUUCAGGUGUAGCGGUGAAAUGCGUAGAGAUCUGAAGGAAUACCGAUGGCGAAGGCAGCUUCCUGGCAUCAUACUGACACUGAGGCUCGAAAGCGUGGGUAGCAAACAGGAUUAGAUACCCUGGUAGUCCACGCCGUAAACGAUGUCUACUAGUCGUUGGGUCCCUUGAGGACUUAGUGACGCAGCUAACGCAAUAAGUAGACCGCCUGGGGAGUACGGCCGCAAGGUUAAAACUCAAAUGAAUUGACGGGGGCCCGCACAAGCGGUGGAGCAUGUGGUUUAAUUCGAUGCAACGCGAAGAACCUUACCUGGUCUUGACAUAUCUAGAAU